UACGAAGGGGGCUAGCGUUGCUCGGAAUUACUGGGCGUAAAGGGCUCGUAGGCGGCCAACUAAGUCAGACGUGAAAUCCCUCGGCUUAACCGGGGAACUGCGUCUGAUACUGGAUGGCUAGAGGUUGGGAGAGGGAUGCGGAAUUCCAGGUGUAGCGGUGAAAUGCGUAGAUAUCUGGAGGAACACCGGUGGCGAAGGCGGCAUCCUGGACCAAUUCUGACGCUGAGGAGCGAAAGCUAGGGGAGCAAACGGG
rnacentral:rRNA from 1 species